GUCUAGGAACGCAGUCCCCAGUAUAGGGGACAGUGGCGGCCGGGGGCAUAGCAACUGGACCGGACAAGCUAUCCCCUGGCAAGUAAACACUGGGACACCGAACCCCCACUGUACCCACUCGUGCAGCCUGGCGUGGAUGUAUCUGGGUUGCCUCCGUUGCACUCGCCGCGAUUCAAACGGCCGACGUGCGAAACCGUAAAAAAAACAGUAUAAAAGUGGCGAAUAAAGAACGCUUUACAGAACUGCUUCACACGAGGAUAAUGGAUAACCUUGUCAAGCUAGGCCACCCAGCCAUCUUCAUCGUAAUCGGGGACUAAACGCACGACCAGGGUGCCGAUCCUUUACGCCAUCCUCGCUAAGUCGACGAUGAACACCGGCCUAAUGUGUUUUGGUGGAAGGAUUAAGUCAUAUCACUUCGACCAUAGAAAGAAGCUGGCAAUGAAUGGCGGUUGGCAAGGUGGACGUAAAAAAGGCAGACUUGUUGGAUGACAUUGAUUGGGAAUGGGAUGGACUAAGCAAGGUUCUUAAUGGAUCUUUGGGAGACCAAUGCCAUGGCACAGUUUGAGGCAUUAGUAAAUAAUCAACUGAAGCGGAGCACCUCAUACAAUCUGCAGAACUAAAAGCGCGUGCUAGAGAGGUGGAAUAUAAAGUGUGUUGGUAAACGCUGAUAGUAACUAUCGAUACGCAACUUAUCGAUAUUUUUAUCAUCCCACUGACGAUUGCUCAUCUCUAUGCCGACUUGCAAAACGCUCAGAAACUUCCGUGUCUAUGAACACUUUUUUUUUGUUUGUUUCACCAACUCUGGAUUCAACGCUGGUUAAACAGCGUCAUUGUAAGCAAAAAGAACAGGAGAUGGUGAAGAAGACAGUAGAACAGGAUACGGCUGACGACGGAGAAAGGCGUCAAGCUCAUCGUAAUUGGUCGCGAACAUGAACGAACCUGUGCGAUUACCACACCAAGUCGACGGGGAGACCGGCUGAAUGUGUUUUGGUACUAGACGAACAAUAAUGAGGCCAUAUUAAACCAAUUUUGGACACCAGCGAACACAAGAGCCACCCUGCUUAGUUCAGAAAUACGUCGGUCAAGUACACCAAUCUAGAGGGCGGACCAUAGGCAAAGAAAGGAGCCAAUAAAGAGGAAGCUUAGAUUGCUGAAGGGACAGAUUCGGCCAAGGAUCCGGAUUCCCAUUCUGAGCACCACAUUAAGAGUGGCAUGCUGCACGCCGGAAACCAAUCGAAGGAGGAGGAGCUGCAGUCGCUAAGGCUUUCCCUUGACUAAGGGACCAGAUCGCAAACAAGCUAGGCAAGCAACAGCGGAUGGAGCUCAAAAGGCUACUGGUUGGCGGACGGAACAGAACUGGCGGUAGUAGCGGGCUUUCUAUACAAAUUUGAUGGCGUGAAGUGACUGGACUGGCCGUCGGAGCAGCUUGAGAAUCGUCACAUGGCCGCACCGCUUUCAAAAAAGGGAAGGAAUUCGAAGCAGAGUCGCGGCCAGCAGAAGGCACAGAUUUAACAUGGACCACAUUGGGGCGGGAAUCAUUUAAGUAGAAAUGCAAAGGCUUAACUUCAAAAAGAAAUUAUUUUGUGGGCUUAUCUUAAUAAAAACUUGUAUCUAAAAUUUUGGCCAAAA
rnacentral:sRNA from 1 species